GCCGGGAGUCGGGCGGACGUGGCCGUCGCCAAUCUGGUCAGGUCCUGACGGAAGCAGCCACAACGAUUUCGUCGCGGGUCGUCCGGCUCUCACCUUU
rnacentral:SRP_RNA from 1 species